rnacentral:tRNA from 1 species
UGGCUCAGAGGUUAAAGUGUCUGCCUGCAAUGCAGGAGACCUGGGUUCAAUCCCUG